rnacentral:rRNA from 1 species
UACGUAGGUGGCAAGCGUUGUCCGGAAUUAUUGGGCGUAAAGCGCGCGCAGGCGGUCCUUUAAGUCUGAUGUGAAAGCCCACGGCUCAACCGUGGAGGGUCAUUGGAAACUGGGGGACUUGAGUACAGAAGAGAAGAGUGGAAUUCCACGUGUAGCGGUGAAAUGCGUAGAGAUGUGGAGGAACACCAGUGGCGAAGGCGGCUUUCUGGUCUGUAACUGACGCUGAGGCGCGAAAGCGUGGGGAGCAAACAGG